GGACUACAAGGGUAUCUAAUCCCGUUUGCUCCCCUGGCUUUCGCGCCUCAGCGUCAGAAAAGGUCCAGCAGCUCGCUUUCGCCACCGGCGUUCCUUCCGAUAUCAACGCAUUUCACCGCUCCACCGGAAGUUCCAGCUGCCCCUACCUCGCUCGAGACCCACAGUAUCCAAGGCUGUUUUCCGGUUAAGCCGAAAGAUUUCACCCCGGACUGGUGGAUCCGCCUACGCGCCCUUUAAGCCCAGUGAUUCCGAACAACGUUCGCACGGUUCGUCUUACCGCGGCGGCUGGCAC
rnacentral:rRNA from 1 species